GAUGAACGCUGGCGGCGUGCCUAAUACAUGCAAGUCGAGCGAACAGACGAGGAGCUUGCUCCUCUGACGUUAGCGGCGGACGGGUGAGUAACACGUGGAUAACCUACCUAUAAGACUGGGAUAACUUCGGGAAACCGGUGCUAAUACCGGAUAAUAUAUUGAACCGCAUGGUUCAAUAGUGAAAGACGGUUUUGCUGUCACUUUUAGAUGGAUCCGCGCCGCAUUAGCUAGUUGGUAAGGUAACGGCUUACCAAGGCAACGAUGCGUAGCCGACCUGAGAGGGUGAUCGGCCACACUGGAACUGAGACACGGUCCAGACUCCUACGGGAGGCAGCAGUAGGGAAUCUUGCGCAAUGGGCGAAAGCCUGACGGAGCAACGCCGCGUGAGUGAUGAAGGUCUUCGGAUCGUAAAACUCUGUUAUUAGGGAAGAACAAAUGUGUAAGUAACUAUGGCCGUCUUGACGGUACCUAAUCAGAAAGCAACGGCUAACUACGUG
rnacentral:rRNA from 1 species